AUCAUCGAUUUUUCAUACUAAAAACAAUCGAUUAAUUUUAUGCAAAAUGUCACAUCUCUAGUAAAUCUCUAGUAACCAAUAGAAAAGUAUUAAUUGGAUAACCAAUAGAAAAGUUCGAAAGUUAAAAUGGCGGAUUGUUUACAAAUUUGUACUGUUGCACAAAACAUCAAAAAGUGUUUUUAAAUAUUUAAUUAGUGUAAAUUACAACUCAGAUACCAUAAAUGACUCCAAGUGUCACGGAAGUGCUCAAAUCAAGGCCCCCGAGACCCUAUCUAGGGGUCUGAAUAAGCAAAUUCAAGCAAAAAUUACUCCAAAUCUCACGGAGGUUUUCGAAUCAAGGUCCCCCGAGACUCCUACACACUCAGUUUAAUCACAAUCAAGGUAUUGAAUAUAAGAUCCAACCC